AACCAUUCACUCAAGUGAACCUAAAAUCCAAUCUUGAGGUUAAAAAAUAAUCCUCUUUGUUUGCUUUCUUCGGUAUUCAUUUUCUCAAGUUGCGGAAUAAAGAAUGUUAGUGAUGGAUAUUGGGCAUACAAGGAGGGAUAGGACUAGAAAUGAGGAUAUUUAGGAUAAGGUGGGACAUGGGAGUAGUUUUGAUUGUGCAAAGCAAGAAUGAGAUGGCUCAACAUGUGAAAAGGAGAUGAACUGAUGAGUGCGGAGGUUUGAGAGGUUGGCUAUGGAUGGUUUUGAGGAUAUGUAGGGGUAGACCAAAGAAGUAUUGUGAUAGGUGAUAAGACAUGAAAG
rnacentral:misc_RNA from 1 species